rnacentral:rRNA from 1 species
UUGAUCCUGGCUCCGAACGAACGUCUGGCGGCGUGCCUCAUACAUGCAAGUCGAGCGAGAAAGUUCCCUUCGGGGAAUGAGUAAAGCGGCAAACGGGUGAGUAACACGUGGGAAACUUGCCCUUCGGUGGGGGAUAAGCGCUCGAAAGGGGGUCUAAUACCGCAUAACAUCGGAAGAUCGCAUGGUCUACCGAUCAAAGCAGCAAUGCACCGGAGGAUAGUCCCGCGCCUGAUUAGCUUGUUGGUAGGGUAAAAGCCUACCAAGGCAACGAUCAGUAGCCGGCCUGAGAGGGUGAUCGGCCACACUGGGACUGAGAUACGGCCCAGACUCCUACGGGAGGCAGCAGUAGGGAAUAUUGCGCAAUGGCCUAACGGCUGACGCAGCAACGCCGCGUGGAUGAUGAAGCUUUUCGGAGUGUAAAAUCCUUUCAGCAGGGAAGAAUAUCUUGACGGUACCUGCAGAAGAAGUCCCGGCCAACUCCGUGCCAGCAGCCGCGGUAACACGGGGGGGACAAGCGUUGUUCGGAUUCACUGGGCGUAAAGCGCUCGUAGGUGGGCUGGAUAGUCGGAUGUGAAAACCUGAGGCUUAACUUCAGGCCUGCAUCCGAAACUGCCAGUCUUGAGUACUGGAGAGGGUGGCGGAAUUCCUGGUGUAGCGGUGAAAUGCGUAGAUAUCAGGAGGAACACCGAUGGCGAAGGCAGCCACCUGGACAGAUACUGACACUGAGGGGCGAAGGCUAGGGUAGCAAACAGGAUUAGAUACCCUGGUAGUCCUAGCGGUAAACGAUGGGCACUAGGUGUUGGCGGUAUCGACCCCGCCAGUGCCGCAGCAAACGCAUUAAGUGCCCCGNCUGGGGAGUACGGUCGCAAGAUUGAAACUCAAAGGAAUUGACGGGGGCCCGCACAAGCGGUGGAGUAUGUGGUUCAAU